rnacentral:rRNA from 1 species
GGAUUAGAUACCCUAGUAGUCCUAGCUGUAAACGAUGGAUACUAGACGUAGGAACUGGAUUGACGGUUUCUGUGUCGAAGCUAACGCAUUAAGCACUCCGCCUGGGAAGUACGGUCGCAAGAUUAAAACUCAAAUAAAUUGACGGGGGCCCGCACAAGCGGUGGAGCAUGUGGUUUAAUUCGAAGCAACGCGAAGAACCUUACCAGACCUUGACAUGGUAUGUUUUAAUUACAGAAUCGUAAUUUUUCAGUUCGGCUGGCAUACACACAGGUGCUGCAUGGCCGUCGUCAGCUCGUGUCG